rnacentral:rRNA from 2 species
GGUUAAGCGACUAAGCGUACACGGUGGAUGCCCUGGCAGUCAGAGGCGAUGAAGGACGUGCUAAUCUGCGAAAAGCGUCGGUAAGGUGAUAUGAACCGUUAUAACCGGCGAUGUCCGAAUGGGGAAACCCAGUGCAAUUCGUUGCACUAUCGUUAACUGAAUACAUAGGUUAACGAGGCGAACCGGGGGAACUGAAACAUCUAAGUACCCCGAGGAAAAGAAAUCAACCGAGAUUCCCCCAGUAGCGGCGAGCGAACGGGGAGCAGCCCAGAGUCUGAAUCAGCUUGUGUGUUAGUGGAACGGUCUGGAAAGUCCGACGGUACAGGGUGAUAGUCCCGUACACCAAAAUGCACAGGUUGUGAACUCGAAGAGUAGGGCGGGACACGUGGUAUCCUGUCUGAAUAUGGGGGGACCAUCCUCCAAGGCUAAAUACUCCUGACUGACCGAUAGUGAACCAGUACCGUGAGGGAAAGGCGAAAAGAACCCCGGCGAGGGGAGUGAAAAAGAACCUGAAACCGUGUACGUACAAGCAGUGGGAGCACCUUCGGGUGUGACUGCGUACCUUUUGUAUAAUGGGUCAGCGACUUAUAUUCUGUAGCAAGGUUAACCGUAUAGGGGAGCCGCAGGGAAACCGAGUCUUAACUGGGCGUUAAGUUGCAGGGUAUAGACCCGAAACCCGGUGAUCUAGCCAUGGGCAGGUUGAAGGUUGGGUAACACUAACUGGAGGACCGAACCGACUAAUGUUGAAAAAUUAGCGGAUGACUUGUGGCUGGGGGUGAAAGGCCAAUCAAACCGGGAGAUAGCUGGUUCUCCCCGAAAGCUAUUUAGGUAGCGCCUCGUGAAUUCAUCUUCGGGGGUAGAGCACUGUUUCGGCUAGGGGGUCAUCCCGACUUACCAACCCGAUGCAAACUACGAAUACCGAAGAAUGUUAUCACGGGAGACACACGGCGGGUGCUAACGUCCGUCGUGAAGAGGGAAACAACCCAGACCGCCAGCUAAGGUCCCAAAGUCAUGGUUAAGUGGGAAACGAUGUGGGAAGGCACAGACAGCCAGGAUGUUGGCUUAGAAGCAGCCAUCAUUUAAAGAAAGCGUAAUAGCUCACUGGUCGAGUCGGCCUGCGCGGAAGAUGUAACGGGGCUAAACCAUGCACCGAAGCUGCGGCAGCGACACUAUGUGUUGUUGGGUAGGGGAGCGUUCUGUAAGCCUGCGAAGGUGACCUGUGAGGGUUGCUGGAGGUAUCAGAAGUGCGAAUGCUGACAUAAGUAACGAUAAAGCGGGUGAAAAGCCCGCUCGCCGGAAGACCAAGGGUUCCUGUCCAACGUUAAUCGGGGCAGGGUGAGUCGACCCCUAAGGCGAGGCCGAAAGGCGUAGUCGAUGGGAAACAGGUUAAUAUUCCUGUACUUGGUGUUACUGCGAAGGGGGGACGGAGAAGGCUAUGUUAGCCGGGCGACGGUUGUCCCGGUUUAAGCAUGUAGGCUGGUUAUCCAGGCAAAUCCGGAUAAUCAAGGCUGAGGUGUGAUGACGAGGCACUACGGUGCUGAAGUAACAAAUGCCCUGCUUCCAGGAAAAGCCUCUAAGCAUCAGGUAACAUCAAAUCGUACCCCAAACCGACACAGGUGGUCAGGUAGAGAAUACCAAGGCGCUUGAGAGAACUCGGGUGAAGGAACUAGGCAAAAUGGUGCCGUAACUUCGGGAGAAGGCACGCUGGUGUGUAGGUGAAGUCCCUGCGGAUGGAGCUGAGACCAGUCGAAGAUACCAGCUGGCUGCAACUGUUUAUUAAAAACACAGCACUGUGCAAACACGAAAGUGGACGUAUACGGUGUGACGCCUGCCCGGUGCCGGAAGGUUAAUUGAUGGGGUUAUCCGUAAGGAGAAGCUCUUGAUCGAAGCCCCGGUAAACGGCGGCCGUAACUAUAACGGUCCUAAGGUAGCGAAAUUCCUUGUCGGGUAAGUUCCGACCUGCACGAAUGGCGUAAUGAUGGCCAGGCUGUCUCCACCCGAGACUCAGUGAAAUUGAACUCGCUGUGAAGAUGCAGUGUACCCGCGGCAAGACGGAAAGACCCCGUGAACCUUUACUAUAGCUUGACACUGAACAUUGAGCCUUGAUGUGUAGGAUAGGUGGGAGGCUUUGAAGCGUGGACGCCAGUCUGCGUGGAGCCAACCUUGAAAUACCACCCUUUAAUGUUUGAUGUUCUAACGUUGGCCCCUUACCGGGGUUGCGGACAGUGUCUGGUGGGUAGUUUGACUGGGGCGGUCUCCUCCCAAAGCGUAACGGAGGAGCACGAAGGUUAGCUAAUCCUGGUCGGACAUCAGGAGGUUAGUGCAAUGGCAUAAGCUAGCUUGACUGCGAGCGUGACGGCGCGAGCAGGUGCGAAAGCAGGUCAUAGUGAUCCGGUGGUUCUGAAUGGAAGGGCCAUCGCUCAACGGAUAAAAGGUACUCCGGGGAUAACAGGCUGAUACCGCCCAAGAGUUCAUAUCGACGGCGGUGUUUGGCACCUCGAUGUCGGCUCAUCACAUCCUGGGGCUGAAGUAGGUCCCAAGGGUAUGGCUGUUCGCCAUUUAAAGUGGUACGCGAGCUGGGUUUAGAACGUCGUGAGACAGUUCGGUCCCUAUCUGCCGUGGGCGCUGGAGAAUUGAGGGGGGCUGCUCCUAGUACGAGAGGACCGGAGUGGACGCAUCACUGGUGUUCGGGUUGUCAUGCCAAUGGCACUGCCCGGUAGCUAAAUGCGGAAGAGAUAAGUGCUGAAAGCAUCUAAGCACGAAACUUGCCCCGAGAUGAGUUCUCCCUGAGACUUUAAGUCUCCUGAAGGAACGUUGAAGACGACGACGUUGAUAGGCCGGGUGUGUAAGCGCAGCGAUGCGUUGAGCUAACCGGUACUAAUGAACCGUGAGGCUUAACCUU